AAUUUUUGGUUGCAUUUCAACAGAAAACUUCAAACAGCUGAGCAAUGCUGGACUUUGGAGCCUUAAUUCCCAGUUUAGAAACGAUGACGUCACGGCCCCGAGGCCCCCGGGGCCCGCCUGAACUGGGUCUGGACUCCAGCUGGCACAGGCGCUGAGCGCCAAUCGCCUGGCCUCAUCCCGUAAACGGCGGCAGGUUUGCAGAACUACCUGACCGCAGGACACCAACGAAGAAGAACUGUCCUCGUGCUCGGCAGCUUUCAAAACCGCCUGGAGCAACAAACCUGGUUUCAACACCUGCAGCUGAACCUCCAGCUUCCUGUUCUGACAGGAUGACGUCUCAUCGCGCUCCCUGUCCGCCUCCAUCUGCAGUUGUUUUGAUCCUAAAUGUGACCCAACCUGAAACCAAAUUGAUUCUCCAGGCUUUUGAAAACUUUCCUCUGGCUCAUUGUAUAACAUGAGGU